rnacentral:rRNA from 1 species
CCUACGGGAGGCAGCAGUGGGGAAUAUUGCGCAAUGGGCGAAAGCCUGACGCAGCGACGCCGCGUGAGGGAUGAAGGUCUUCGGAUCGUAAACCUCUGUCAGCAGGGAAGAACGGUCACUGUGCUAAUCAGCAGUGAAUUGACGGUACCUGCAAGGGAAGCACCGGCUAAAUCCGUGCCAGCAGCCGCGGUAAUACGGGGGGUGCGAGCGUUAAUCGGAAUUACUGGGCGUAAAGCGCUCGUAGGCGGUAUGUCAAGUCAAGGGUGAAAUCCCCGCGCUCAACGUGGGAACUGACUUUGAAACUGGCAGACUGGAGUGUGUGAGAGGAUAGUGGAAUUCCAGGUGUAGGAGUGAAAUCCGUAGAUAUCUGGAGGAACAUCAGUGGCGAAGGCGACUAUCUGGCACAUAACUGACGCUGAGGAGCGAAAGCGUGGGUAGCAAACAGGAUUAGAUACCCCUGUAGUC